AGCGAACACUGGCGGCAGGCCUAACACAUGCAAGUCGAACGAACUCUUCGGAGUUAGUGGCGGACGGGUGAGUAACACGUGGGAACGUGCCUUUAGGUUCGGAAUAACUCAGGGAAACUUGUGCUAAUACCGAAUGUGCCCUUCGGGGGAAAGAUUUAUCGCCUUUAGAGCGGCCCGCGUCUGAUUAGCUAGUUGGUGAGGUAAUGGCUCACCAAGGCUACGAUCGGUAGCUGGUCUGAGAGGAUGACCAGCCACAUUGGGACUGAGACACGGCCCAAACUCCUACGGGAGGCAGCAGUGGGGAAUCUUGCGCAAUGGGCGAAAGCCUGACGCAGCCAUGCCGCGUGGAUGAUGAAGGUCUUAGGAUUGUAAAAUCCUUUCACCGGUGAAGAUAAUGACUGUAGCCGGAGAAGAAGCCCCGGCUAACUUCGUGCCAGCCGCCGCCGUAACAC
rnacentral:rRNA from 1 species